UACGUAGGGUGCGAGCGUUAAUCGGAAUUACUGGGCGUAAAGCGUGCGCAGGUGGUUUCGCAAGUCGAGUGUGAAAGCCCCGGGCUUAACCUGGGAAUUGCGCUCGAAACUACGAGACUUGAGUGUGGCAGAGGGAGGUGGAAUUCCACGUGUAGCGGUGAAAUGCGUAGAGAUGUGGAGGAACACCGAUGGCGAAGGCAGCCUCCUGGGCCAACACUGACACUCAGGCACGAAAGCGUGGGGAGCAAACAGG
rnacentral:rRNA from 1 species